rnacentral:rRNA from 1 species
UACGAAGGGGGCUAGCGUUGCUCGGAAUCACUGGGCGUAAAGGGCGCGUAGGCGGCCGUUCAAGUCGGGGGUGAAAGCCUGUGGCUCAACCACAGAAUGGCCCUCGAUACUGGAUGGCUCGAGACCGGAAGAGGUUGGUGGAACUGCGAGUGUAGAGGUGAAAUUCGUAGAUAUUCGCAAGAACACCAGUGGCGAAGGCGGCUGACUGGUCCGGUUCUGACGCUGAGGCGCGAAAGCUAGGGGAGCGAACGGA